ensembl:ncRNA lncRNA:CR45327 long non-coding RNA:CR45327
AGUCACAUUCACCAUUUGGAAACAAUAUGUUCGGCACGGCGAGGUUCCCAAAAAGACAGAACGAAACAACUUGGAAAAUAUUCGAGCGGAAGUGCAUUAUAUAGCGAUCAAUUCAAGUUUAUUUCAAAUUAGCAUCCUAUUUAGCAUGUAUUUCGAUCGAUUGCAGCGGAGUUAGCUCGAAUAUGCCUUUCAAAUAUUGACCGUUAAAGUCUCUUUAUAUAUUUGCAGAUCUUGAAAAACGUUUUUCCCUCUGACGAAACGCGAUUGUGUUCAAUUAAAAGACAAUUUCAUCGAAUUAAUUGAAUUAAUUUGGUGAGAACAUGAAAGGAGUCAGCCAGCUGCGCAAACAGACUGCAAACCAAUUAAGAGGAGCCAACUGUCCAACAGUCCAGAAUGGUGACCAUAAGUUUACUUUUCAUUGGUGCUUAUGUGGGAAUAGGCGCCAAGUAUACAAGAUAACAAAUCCUAUACAGUAUCCCAACACUAGAUCAAUAACAUUAUUUAAGUCUUUUUCUUUAUUAUAAAUAAUAUUUAUAUAUGUAUAUUUAAGUAUAUGAAAGCUGUUGCUACAACUGAUGAAUUUUGCCUUAAUCUAAUACAGCAUUGAACGGUUACAACCAACGGAUACAUACUCGCUUGAAUGAGUCUUAUAUAACCCUUUCAAUAAUCCUCUUCAUAUUUGUCCAUGGAAUAUCCUUCAAAUUUGCCAUUUGCCUGAGUAAACGAUUAAGUCUUCGCUGAAAAC